CAGGCUUAACACAUGCAAGUCGAGCGGAGAUGAGGUGCUUGCACCUUAUCUUAGCGGCGGACGGGUGAGUAAUGCUUAGGAAUCUACCCAAUUCUACGGAACAACACAGGGAAACUUGUGCUAAUACCGUAUACGCCCUACGGGGGAAAGAUUUAUCGGAAUUGGAUGAGCCCGCGUUGGAUUAGCUAGUUGGUGGGGUAAUGGCCUACCAAGGCGACGAUCCAUAGCUGGUCUGAGAGGAUGGUCAGCCACACUGGGACUGAGACACGGCCCAGACUCCUACGGGAGGCAGCAGUGGGGAAUAUUGGACAAUGGGCGAAAGCCUGAUCCAGCCAUGCCGCGUGAGUGAUGAAGGCCUUAGGGUUGUAAAGCUCUUUCAGUGGGGAAGAUAAUGACGGUACCCACAGAAGAAGCCCCGGCUAACUUCGUGCCAGCCGCCGCUGUAACAC
rnacentral:rRNA from 1 species